GUAGGUGGCAAGCGUUGUCCGGGAAUUAUUGGGGCGUAAAGCGCGCGCAGGCGGUUCUUUAAGUCUGGAUGUGAAAGCCCACGGGCUCAACCGUGGGAGGGUCAUUGGAAACUGGAGAACUUGAGUACAGAAGAGGAAAGCGGAAUUCCACGUGUAGCGGUGAAAUGCGUAGAGAUGUGGAGGAACACCAGUGGCGAAGGCGGCUUUCUGGUCUGUAACUGACGCUGAGGCGCGAAAGCGUGGGGAGCAAACAGGAUUAGAUACCCUGGUAGUCCACGCCGUAAGCGAUGAGUGCUAAGUGUUAGGGGGUUUCCGCCCCUUAGUGCUGCAGCUAACGCAUUAAGCACUCCGCCUGGGGAGUACGGCCGCAAAGGCUGA
rnacentral:rRNA from 1 species